rnacentral:tRNA from 1 species
GCCGACGUGGUGGAAUUGGCAGACACGCGUGGUUUAGGACCACGUGCUCGCAAGAGCUUGCAGGUUCAAAUCCUGCCGUCGGCACCA